rnacentral:rRNA from 1 species
AUUGAACGCUGGCGGCAGGCUUAACACAUGCAAGUCGAGCGGGGUGAUGGUGCUUGCACUAUCACUUAGCGGCGGACGGGUGAGUAAUGCUUAGGAAUCUGCCUAUUAGUGGGGGACAACAUCUCGAAAGGGAUGCUAAUACCGCAUACGUCCUACGGGAGAAAGCAGGGGAUCACUUGUGACCUUGCGCUAAUAGAUGAGCCUAAGUCGGAUUAGCUAGUUGGUGGGGGUAAAGGCCUACCAAGGCGACGAUCUGUAGCGGGUCUGAGAGGAUGAUCCGCCACACUGGGACUGAGACACGGCCCAGACUCCUACGGGAGGCAGCAGUGGGGAAUAUUGGACAAUGGGGGGAACCCUGAUCCAGCCAUGCCGCGUGUGUGAAGAAGGCUUUAUGGUUGUAAAGCACUUUAAGCGAGGAGGAGGCUCUUUUGGUUAAUACUCUGGGAUAGUGGACGUUACUCGCAGAAUAAGCACCGGCUAACUCUGUGCCAGCCGCCGCCGUAA